rnacentral:misc_RNA from 1 species
GAUGAAGAACGUAGCGAAAUGCGAUAAGUAAUGUGAAUUGCAGAAUUCAGUGAAUCAUCGAAUCUUUGAACGCACAUUGCGCCCGCCAGCAUUCUGGCGGGCAUGCCUGUUCGAGCGUCAUUUCAACCCUCAAGCUCUGCUUGGUGUUGGGGCCCUACGGUUGACGUAGGCCCUUAAAGGUAGUGGCGGACCCUCUCGGAGCCUCCUUUGCGUAGUAACUAACGUCUCGCAUUGGGAUUCGGAGGGACUCUUGCCGUAAAACCCCCAAAUUUUCUAAUGGUUGACCUCGGAUCAGGUAGGAAUACCCGCUGAACUUAAGCAUAUCAUAGCGGAGGA